rnacentral:rRNA from 1 species
UACGGAGGGUGCAAGCGUUGUCCGGAUUUAUUGGGUUUAAAGGGUGCGUAGGCGGCCCGUUAAGUCAGCGGUGAAAUCCCAGGGCUCAACCCUGGAACUGCCGUUGAUACUGGCGGGCUUGAGUUCGGUCGAGGCGGGCGGAACUGGUGGUGUAGCGGUGAAAUGCAUAGAUACCCUCCAGAACCCCGAUUGCGAAGGCAGCUGACUAGGCUGUAACUGACGCUGAGGCACGAAAGCGUGGGGAGCGAACAGG